UCAUUGGGAACAUAAAGCAAUGGUGCCUACCUUCCUGUUCUUUGAUAGCAUAUUUUUGGGAAUGGGGACUGCCAUCACUCGUAUGAACAUCGAUUUCAUCGUCUUGCAUGGGAUCUGCAGAUGUCGAUUGGAAUAAUUCUGCAUGUUCUCGCGAGGGGGAGAUAAAAGGCCAUUAAAGAAGAGGUGGAAUGGGAGCGAAGUAGACCUUCAAGUCAAAGGACACGAGUGUCAUCUUCCUAUUCUGCACCCACCACUCUUGACAUCAUCAUCAUCAUCUCAGAAGAACUGCAUUGCUGCCCCACAAGUCUCUCAGAGAGACGGCUGCUGUCCAUGAACGAAGUUGUUAUCUUGAUUGGCCGUGAAGUUUUUGCCCAUAAUAAGGGGAUGGGAAUGACAAGGUGGGGGGAUGAAUGACAGGGACCGGUAGGUUCCAAGUCAUCUUCGUCAUGCAGAUCGUGAUAUAGCCCCAUCAGUCAUGUCGACUUCAUCAGUAAAUGCCUACGCUCUCAACCAGGACAGCUCCAAUGCCACCAGCAAGCUCAUCAACAGAGUUCGUCGAUCAGAAGGCUUAACCGUUCGCCCAAAGAGUUGCACUACAAUCUUAUAGCAUUCUUGAUAUGACCUGUCAUAAAUACUAUCCCACAAGAUUUCACUUUCAUCUUA